UUGCUAUUCACUUCUGCAGCACAUGUACUAAAUUUGGAGGGGUACAGAGAGGAUUAACAUGGCCCCUGCACAAGGAUGACAUGCAAAUUCAUGUAGUAUUUUUUU